rnacentral:rRNA from 1 species
GGCUCUUUGAGUUUAAGGGUAUAAAGAGUCGGACCUGCCCAGUGACAAAGUUUAACGGCCGCAGUACCCUGACUGUGCAAAGGUAGCAUAAUAAUUUGCCUUUUUAUUGGAGGAUGGAAUCAAUGGUUUGACGAAAGCAUAGCUGUCUCUUUCACUUUUAUUAAAAUUUAGCUUUGUAGUUAAAAGGCUAUAAUUGUAUACUGAGGGACGAGAAGACCCUAUCGAGCUUUAAAAUAAUUAGUUAAAUUGCUAAUAUUAUAGUAGAUUUGGAUUUAGAUAAUUUCUUUUGGUUGGGGCGACCGUGGAGCAGAAAAAACCUCCACUGUGAAAAAAUCUGACAUGAUCCAGUGUUGCUGAGAAAAGGAAGAAGUUACCGUAGGGAUAACAGCGUAAUAUUUUUGGAGAGAUCUUAUCGAAAAAGGGGAUUGCGACCUCGAUGUUGGAUUAGAAAGUCCUUAGGGUGCAGGUGCUCUGUAAGGUUAGUCUGUUCGACUAUUAAAUUUCU